UUGGCAGUUAAAGAACAGAAACACAGCAAUAAGACUGAGUGGCUACAUUUUCCCAGUGCCACCAACUGGGAGUUAAGCUGACUAACAUUUUGAAAGCCCAGCCCAUUUCAUUCACAGCAGGAUGGCAGUGGGUGACUGAUCAUACCCGCCGGCUGGCUAAUGUCAUAAUUAACAAAGUUGCUACUACAUCGGCAAAGUUUAAUCGAAAAAUUUGCCAGUGAUAUGAUGGCAUUGUCACAGAGAUCACAAGGGACACGGAGUCGACUUUUGCUCAAGAUGGAACGACAGAGCUGUGUAGGCAAGAUGAGAAAUUGCAAACUUGUUCGGCCAAAGGAGGCUAAUAAUGAAGGGGCCGGGAAGGAGGCCAGUGCUACCAGGGUUAUCUCACAACCUCAGAUGCUGGAUAAGUCGAAGGAGGCAGAAUCGCUUUGGGAUGACAUUCAGAAAGGCUGGAGUGAUUACUUGGAAGAGAAAAGCCUACCUAUUCUUUCCAAGGUUCAGGAAUAUUCCCCUGACCUGCUCAUCCAAUGGUCCAGUAAUGAAUUACUGGAGACCUGCCUUAGACAAAGAAUGCACUCGGAGCCCCAACACACCUAAAGCCACGCUUUGAAGGAUCUGCCAAGCUCACUUUUAAUCAUGAGAAAGAAAUUACCCACACGGAGUCAGCAGAAAAUGAGAAAGUAGAGCUCGUGCUGUGAAUAAUUCUAGCAAGUGCCAAGGGGCUAGUUGAGGAAUGGCUACAUGAG
rnacentral:lncRNA from 1 species